GACGAACGCUGGCGGCGUGCUUAACACAUGCAAGUCGAACGGAAAGGCCCUGCAUUUGUGGGGUGCUCGAGUGGCGAACGGGUGAGUAACACGUGAGUAACCUGCCCUUGACUUUGGGAUAACUUCAGGAAACUGGGGCUUAUACCGGAUCGUAGCUCCUGCUGCACGGUGGGGGUUGGAAAGUUUCGGCGGUUGGGGAUGGACUCUCGGCUUAUCAGCUUGUUGGUGGGGUAGUGGCUUACCAAGGCUUUGACGGGUAGCCGGCCUGAGAGGGUGACCGGCCACAUUGGGACUGAGAUACGGCCCAGACUCCUACGGGAGGCAGCAGUGGGGAAUAUUGCACAAUGGGCGGAAGCCUGAUGCAGCAACGCCGCGUGCGGGAUGACGGCCUUCGGGCUGUAAACCGCUUUCGCCUGUGACGAAGCGUGAGUGACGGUAAUGGGUAAAGAAGCACCGGCUAACUACGUG
rnacentral:rRNA from 1 species